GGGGGUAUCGGUUAAUUGGUAAACCACCUCUCUCCAAAAGAGGCGUACUCCAGGUUCGAGUCCUGGUACCCCCG
rnacentral:tRNA from 1 species